AGAUCGGAGGAUGUUUUUAAAAGGAAAAAUCAAAGCAUGUCUGUAGCUUCUGCAUGCCUGUAGUGGGACAAAGAGUCCUAACAGGCCUGGCUGAAGAUGCAGAAGCAGCUUCAAGCCCCAGUGACCAGGGACAGCCAGCACUGAUUCAGAGCCCAGUACCUUGGACUCCCAGUCUUCGACCACCUUGUUCCUCUCCUCGGAGGAGCCAGGCCCCUCCACCGCCGCCCUGCCAUCUCCCUCCUCCUCUUCCUGCGAGCCUCAGGCCUUUUCCCCAGGUCCGCCAGCGCUGCCUCCGCUGUUGCCUCCGCUCCCCGCAGCCUCGGCGCCCCCAGGCCCCGGCGCCUCCCGGCGCACAGGCCGCUACUCAGUCGUCGCCUCCUCCCCGGAGGCCGCCCCGCGUCUGGUCGACUGGCUCCCCGGUUGCCCUUCGACCAUCUCUCCCAGCACACGCGGGGAUGACAAGGAGCGGCCGCCGCCCGUCCUGGCACCGGCCGAGGGCCCGGAAAGGAGCCGCGCCCCGCGCCCCAGCACUGCGGGCAGGGAGGAGGGCACCGUGGACGCGGGUACAUCCCCGCCGCCCCGAGCCCGGCCCGCCGCUGCGGCGAGCUUGGAGGCCCACGUCGGGGACAUCCUGGUGGAGCUGCGGACCAUGAACGGCCACCUGGACAGCAUAGCGCGGGCCCUCACCAAACUGGCUUCGUCCCUGGGGCCCCAGCCUGAGCCCCUGCCAGAUGUUUCGGAUGCCAACUAAUGGAGCUCGGCGAGGCUGGGCCGCCCCGGGGCCGAGGGAUCGCUUGCACCAGGCAUCCCUGCCUGUCCCUCCCCAGCAGCGAAGCGCGCCCAGCGGAGGAGCGGUUGCUCUGCGCAGCUGCCUAGCGGAAAGCACGGCCCUAGCGUUUCAGCGUGAAACAGACCCGGUUGCGCCUCACACCCUCCUCCUCCGCUCUCUCACGGCGGCCCCUGCCCCGGCUUCCUGGCCCUUCACAUGCCCUUCUCUUGUCUUGAGCGUCUAGCAGAAAAAGUGCCUGGAAACGGCGGUGGCACCCUGCGAAGGAUGCUUAGAGAAACACUCUUUCACAUCCCAUUCCUGCGACUUCCGCGUGGCGUGGAGGGAGAGGAGCUCAAAGCAAGUCGCCAAAGCAGCAGCGAGGCCAGCUCCAGCGUUGGUGGGGCAUCCAUCUCUGGUGACGUUCACAAGUUUGUUUGUUUUUAAAAUCGUUUUUGGAAAAAUAUUUUUUUUUCCUCAUAAGCACAUUUCAAGAAGUUUGGAAAAUAGAGAAAUGAAACAAAAUCUGGUGUAUUUGUGGAAAAGGGGGGUAUUUAAGUCUUUCUUAUGAGUAAGAAAGUAUUUUGUGUAAUAAAAAAAAUGUAUAUCCACUUUCUGGGCGUUGGGCUCUCCCUACCACAUUUCUUCCUUUGCACGGCCCCUUUCUCUCUGUGCUUAGUUGCUUGUCCCAGCCCUCCUAUAGUCCUUGAGUUGUUGAACUUUUGUCAUACUUGUGAAGUAUAAGCUUCUUUUUAAAUUUAAUAUACUUUCUUUUUUGUUAAGAGACAGUCUUACUCUGUCACCCAGGCUGGAGUGCAGAGGCGCGAUCUCGGGUCACUGCAGCCUCUACCUCCCAGGCUCAAGUGAUCCUCCCAACACAGGCUCCUGAGUAGCUGGGACUACAGGCAUGAGUCACUGCACCUGACAAGAAUAAGCUUUUAAUGGUUCUUCUGAUUCUUUCCGUAACUCCCAGAUCUUCAUAAAUUUGAUAGACCCACUCUUCUCAUUUGGACUGAGUGGAAACCAAGUUCCAGAGCGACUGGGCAAUAAAUAUGGAGGAAACAGCAUCCCCAGCCUCUACUCACUGCCAGAAUGACCAGCUUCCCCAGUUGAAACAACCAAAAAAUGUUUCCAGACAUCGCCACUGUCCCCUGGUUGAGAUCCACUAACCUAUGUAGAAUUUCAAAAAUUUGGGAUGAUCCACACUCUCCAGAAUCUGGCUUCCCGUAGUGAGGCAGGGCUCUUCUCCUCUUCCUAUUAGAAUUUUAAUAAAGUGUGCUUCUUUGCUAGAAGCAAACAUGCUAUGCUGCUCUUUCUUCAGAAACAAACGAAAAUAUUCAUGCACGGUGGCUCACGCCUGUAAUCCCAGCACUUUGGGAGGCUGAAGCGGGUGGAUCACUUGAGGUCAGGAGUUCCAGGCCAGCCUGACCAACAUGGUGAAACUCUGUCUCUACUAAAAAUACAAAAUUAGCUGGGCAUGGUGGCACAUGCCUGUAAUCCCAACUACUCAGGAGGCUGGAGCAGGAAACUGGCUUGAACCCAGGAGUCGGAGGUCGCAGUGAGCUGAGAUCGUGCCAUUGUACUCCAGCCUGGGCAACAAGAGCAAAACUCUGUCUCAAAAAAAAAAAAAAAAAAAGAAACAAACGAAGGGUCUGAGACCACAUUGCACAAAAUAAAACCCUGUCUGGGAGCACUUAUAGGGCUCACAGCUGGCGUUCUGCGGCUGGUAGAGUUUGUGCACCUCUAGUGCCUCACAGACUUUGAUAAGCAGGAACUACGUGGAGAGCUAGUGAAAAUGCAGAUUCUGAUUCAGAAGUUCUGGAGUGGGGCCUGAGACUCAGCAUUUCUAGACAGCUCCAGGGAGACGCUGAUGCUACUGAUCCAAGACACACUGUGAGUAGCCAGAAAGUAAUGAGGGGUUUUCUGCUCUGGAAUUCCUGCUUAUUUGAGUUGCCACUGCUCCCCAGGAACUUCUGCUUGUCUUUGUACCCCACAGUGCCUAGAUUCCUCAACUCUAACCAAAGCUUUUGGUUUUUGUUUUUUUUUUUUGGCAGAGUGUUAGCUCUGGCCUCCUACUUCUAAAACUGUUCCAGCGAAGUUCAAUCUAAUUCAACAAACAUUUACUGAGUGCUAUAAUGCUGGUGCAUCGGGGGACACAAGAUGAAUAGGAUAAGGAGGAGAAUUGAUGGCCCAAAGUGAAUGUCCUGCCCUGUGAUCUGCCCUUUAGCGGAAGAAACAGCAAAACCGGCAUCAACUAAAGCAACUGGGAACAUCAAGUUUUUAUUCAUUUGUUGAUUUGAACAGUAUUUCAUUCUGAUUUUAACUGACUUCUUUUGCAUUAGAUUAAAAACAACAACAAAAGACUGAAAUCUUUCAAGAACAAAGAGGAGCUGGCCUAUAAAUCCUAAAUACAGAUGUAGUGAUUGAACCCAUCUAGGUAGCUUAUGAAUAUAAAUCUCACCCAAAGUUUCAUCCACACUUAAGAGAUAACCACUGUUAAUAUUUUGGCAACUACUCUUGGAAGUAUUUGUGUCUAAAUACAAAUACCUAUGCGUAUGCAAUUUUACUUAACUGUGAUCAUAGUAGGCCUGCUGUUCUGUAACCUGUUUUUUUUUAAUCUUGAUAAUAGAUGAUAGAAAUCUUUUCAUUUAAAAAGCAAUGUUAUAUAUGAAGUAAAAUUUGCUUAACCAUU
rnacentral:lncRNA from 1 species